rnacentral:lncRNA from 1 species
UGGCUGAUAGAACUGUGUGCUGUGCCACGUCGAGCUCCAUGGAGCUUCUACAUCGAGAGAGACCGUUCACCACAUAAACUGCAGAGGCUGCCUUGCAAGGAGUAGCUGUGAACCCCAGGCCGCCUGCUCUCAACAGGCAUAAGCCCAUCGAGGUGGAAAUCAUAGAAAUUCAGAAAUAACUUGAAACGCUCAGAAAAUCUUUCCUAGCCCUGGACGUCUCCCUCAGUA